rnacentral:rRNA from 1 species
CCCUUAGAUGUUCUGGGCCGCACGCGCGCUACACUGAUGCAUUCAACGAGUGUACCUUGGCCGAGAGGCCUGGGCAAUCUUUUGAACGUGCAUCGUGAUAGGGAUAGAUUAUUGCAAUUAUUAAUCUUGAACGAGGAAUUCCUAGUAAACGCAGAUCAUCAAUCUGCAUUGAUUACGUCCCUGCCCUUUGUACACACCGUCCGUCGCACCUACCGAUUGGAUGGUCCGGUGAAGCCUCGGGAUUGUGGCGGUUGCCUUUAUUGGUGGCCGCCGCGAGAACUUGUCUAAACCUUAUCAUCUAGAGGAAGGUGAANUCGUANCA